rnacentral:rRNA from 1 species
AUAGACAGCUAGCUCUCACAUGGUCGCCCACUGAAGCUAAGCAGGGCUGAGCCUGGUCAAUACCUGGAUGGGAGUCCACAUGGGAAAGCUAGGUUGCUGUCUGAA